rnacentral:rRNA from 1 species
AAUGAACGCUGGCGGCAUGCCUAACACAUGCAAGUCGAACGAGACCUUCGGGUCUGGUUGCGCACGCGUGCGUAGAGCGUUGGAACCUGCCCUUAUGUUUGGAAUAACGCCCCGAAAGGGGUGCUAAUACCGGAUAAUGUCCUCUGACCAAAGAUUUAUCGAGUUUGGAUGGGCCCGCGUUGUAUUAGCUAGUUGGUAGGGUAAAAGCCUACCAAGGCGUCGAUCCAUAGCUGGUCUGAGAGGCUGAUCCGAGACACUGGGGCUGAGACACGGCCGAGAAUAUUACGGGAGGGAGGAGAGGGGAAUAUAGGACUAUGGGGGAAAUGCUGAAGCAGCAAUGCUGGGUGAGCGAUGAAGGCCUUAGGGUUGUAAAGCACUUUUACACCGGAUGAUAAUGACGGUACCGAGAGAAUAAGCACCGGCUAACUUCGUG